rnacentral:lncRNA from 1 species
AAAGAAGAAGUGAGAAAGAAGGAAGAAAGGCUUGGAGGAGAAAAGGAAAAGCUCAUCAUCACCAUUUUCUACUCAUCAUCCUCACCAACUUCAUUUUAUUCUUUUACUAGGUGAGUUCUUAGAUAGAUUUAGCCUUUGGGGGAAAAUAACCUAUGUUUAGGGGUUAGGAUUUGUGUGAAUUUGUGAUGAACUUGUUGUGUUCAUACUCCUCAUCCAUGCUAUGUGUUGAUAUCAUGUUGUUGUUGUUGAAAUUGUGAUACUUGGGUGUUUAAUUUUGAUGUGUUUUAUUGUUGAAGAUAUGGAGGUUAAUCACAUGAAUUCAUAACAAUAUAAGUUAUUCAUGAAAUAUUCCCAUGAAUCAUGAGUUAACCAUGUUUUCUAUGAUUAUGGUGUUGUUGUAAUUGAACAUGGUUGUUGAGGUUGUUAAGAACAUGUGUUUAUGAGGUUGAGGAUUCCUUGAGUGUUGGUUGCUGAUGGUUUAAUUCUAUCUACUUUUUCAAAAGACAUUCUAAAGGCGGAAUUGAAUGCAGUACACUCAGGUAUGUUUCAUUUUUAUCUUAUAAAAUAUAAUUUUUUCUUUUGAAUGAACAAAAAUACUAAUAUGUUUAUCUAACAAAUUAAUGUAACUCCAGAAUUUUAAGAAAGACAAAAUGAUUCGGCAUAUAUUCUUAAUCAAUUUAGAUGCCACUCAUCAAAACAAGGCCACCAAUAUAAUAAAGUGUUUUUA